GACGAACGCUGGCGGCGUGCUUAACACAUGCAAGUCGAACGGAAAGGCCCUGCUUUUGUGGGGUGCUCGAGUGGCGAACGGGUGAGUAACACGUGAGUAACCUGCCCUUGACUUUGGGAUAACUUCAGGAAACUGGGGCUAAUACCGGAUAGGAGCUCCUGCUGCAUGGUGGGGGUUGGAAAGUUUCGGCGGUUGGGGAUGGACUCGCGGCUUAUCAGCUUGUUGGUGGGGUAGUGGCUUACCAAGGCUUUGACGGGUAGCCGGCCUGAGAGGGUGACCGGCCACAUUGGGACUGAGAUACGGCCCAGACUCCUACGGGAGGCAGCAGUGGGGAAUAUUGCACAAUGGGCGGAAGCCUGAUGCAGCAACGCCGCGUGCGGGAUGACGGCCUUCGGGUUGUAAACCGCUUUCGCCUGUGACGAAGCGUGAGUGACGGUAAUGGGUAAAGAAGCACCGGCUAACUACGUGCCAGCAGCCGCGGUGAUACGUAGGGUGCGAGCGUUGUCCGGAUUUAUUGGGCGUAAAGGGCUCGUAGGUGGUUGAUCGCGUCGGAAGUGUAAUCUUGGGGCUUAACCCUGAGCGUGCUUUCGAUACGGGUUGACUUGAGGAAGGUAGGGGAGAAUGGAAUUCCUGGUGGAGCGGUGGAAUGCGCAAAUAUCAGGAGGAACACCAGUGGCGAAGGCGGUUCUCUGGGCCUUUCCUGACGCUGAGGAGCGAAAGCGUGGGGAGCGAACAGGCUUAGAUACCCUGGUAGUCCACGCUGUAAACGGUGGGUACUAGGUGUGGGGUCCAUUCCACGGGUUCCGUGCCGUAGCUAACGCUUUAAGUACCCCGCCUGGGGAGUACGGCCGCAAGGCUAAAACUCAAAGGAAUUGACGGGGCCCCGCACAAGCGGCGGAGCAUGCGGAUUAAUUCGAUGCAACGCGUAGAACCUUACCUGGGUUUGACAUGGAUCGGGAGUGCUCAGAGAUGGGUGUGCCUCUUUUGGGGUCGGUUCACAGGUGGUGCAUGGCUGUCGUCAGCUCGUGUCGUGAGAUGUUGGGUUAAGUCCCGCAACGAGCGCAACCCUUGUUCACUGUUGCCAGCACGUUAUGGUGGGGACUCAGUGGAGACCGCCGGGGUCAACUCGGAGGAAGGUGGGGAUGACGUCAAGUCAUCAUGCCCCUUAUGUCCAGGGCUUCACGCAUGCUACAAUGGCUGGUACAGAGAGUGGCGAGCCUGUGAGGGUGAGCGAAUCUCGGAAAGCCGGUCUCAGUUCGGAUUGGGGUCUGCAACUCGACCUCAUGAAGUCGGAGUCGCUAGUAAUCGCAGAUCAGCAACGCUGCGGUGAAUACGUUCCCGGG
rnacentral:rRNA from 1 species